rnacentral:rRNA from 1 species
AUUGAACGCUGGCGGCAUGCCUUACACAUGCAAGUCGAACGAGUGGCGAACGGGUGAGUAAUACUUCGGAACGUGCCCUGUAGUGGGGGAUAACUAGUCGAAAGACUAGCUAAUACCGCAUACUAUAGGAGCGGCCGAUGUCUGAUUAGCUAGUUGGUGGGGUAAAGGCCUACCAAGGCGACGAUCAGUAGCUGGUCUGAGAGGACGAUCAGCCACAUGGGGACGGGGCAACGGCCCAGCCCCCUACGGGGGGAAGCGGGGGGAAAUUUUGGACAAGGGGGGAAACCCGGAUCCAGCAAGGCCGCGUGUGUGAAGAGGGCCUACGGGUUGUAAAGCACUUUUGUCAGGGAAGCGGUACCGGAAGAAUAAGGACCGGCUAACUACGUGCCAGCAGCCGCGGUAAUUC